rnacentral:rRNA from 1 species
GCAUAUCAAUAAGCGGAGGAAAAGAAACUAACAAGGAUUCCCCUAGUAACUGCGAGUGAAGCGGGAAAAGCUCAAAUUUAAAAUCUGGCAGUCUUUGGCUGUCCGAGUUGUAGUCUGGAGAAGUGCUUUCCGCGCUGGACCGUGUACAAGUCUCUUGGAAUAGAGCGUCAUAGAGGGUGAGAAUCCCGUCUUUGACACGGACUACCAGUGCUUUGUGAUGCGCUCUCAAAGAGUCGAGUUGUUUGGGAAUGCAGCUCAAAAUGGGUGGUAAAUUCCAUCUAAAGCUAAAUAUUGGCGAGAGACCGAUAGCGAACAAGUACCGUGAGGGAAAGAUGAAAAGCACUUUGGAAAGAGAGUUAAACAGUACGUGAAAUUGCUGAAAGGGAAACGCUUGAAGUCAGUCACGUUGGUCAGAACUCAGCCUGGCUUUUUUUGCUUGGUGCAUUUUCUGAUUAACGGGCCAGCAUCAAUUUUGACCAUUGGAAAAAUUCUUUGGGAAUGUGGCUCCUCCGGGAGUGUUAUAGCCCAGGGUUGUAUACAGUGGUUGGGAUUGAGGAACUCAGCACGCCUUCAUGGUCGGGGUUCGCCCACGCUCGUGCUUAGGAUGCUGGCGUAAUGGCUUUAAACGACCCGUCUUGAAACACGGACCAAGGAGUCUAACAUGCCUGCGAGUGUUUGGGUGGAAAACCCGAGCGCGCAAUGAAAGUGAAAGUUGGGAUCUCUGUCGUGGAGAGCACCGACGCCCAUACCAGACCUUCUGUGACGGAUAUGCGGUUGAGCAUGUAUGUUGGGACCCGAAAGAUGGUGAACUAUGCCUGAAUAGGGUGAAGCCAGAGGAAACUCUGGUGGAGGCUCGUAGCGAUUCUGACGUGCAAAUCGAUCGUCAAAUUUGGGYAUAGGGGCGAMAGACUAAUCGAACCAUCUAGUAGCUGGUUCCUGCGA